CCUGUUUCCUGUGUUUCUAAUCUUCUCUGCUUCACCCAUUAUACUUGGAAAAUCCAUACCAGUCCAAUCCUUAGGCAUCUCAAAACCAAGCAGCUCAAUUUCCCAUUGAAUAUGGGCACCUUCAGGAAUAUUAGCUGGCCUCUGGAACUUGUCAUAUGCAUAAUCAGGAGGACAAGUAACAAGAGCUAUCUCUCCUGGAAGCAUUAAACGAACACACAUUUCAAANUCCUUCAGGGAUUAGCCCUUCUCCAGAACUGAACUCCAAAGGCUGACCAUCAUUAUCAACUCUUGUAUCAUAGAAGAUCUUCUUUUCCUCAUUAAGAAGCAUACCCUUGUAAUGUACUCGUAGUAGACUGUCAUGAAGGGGGCAAUCCAUGGGAAAUUCACCUCUUCCAUCACGAAGCCGACGCUUUAUCAGGCGCCCAUCUCCAAGCAUGUCCCGCACCUGAGUGAAAUGGACAAGCUCCACUUCAAAAUGAACUUCAUCAAAACCUUCCACCAUAGACAGCAGAGGAGACUCGGUUAAGUACUGGUUGGUAACAUAUAUUACUGCUUUCUCUUCUCGUGACAUUGUUCCCAUCCCCAUUUCAAGGCCCUUAGGUACCUCAGAUUUCCCAAAAGUAAAGCAAUAUGGUUCUUGUGUAUGUGAUAAAAUUACUUUCCCAUUGCCCGUCUUUGCAGAAAUCCUAGCCUUUACUUCAUAAGGUUCCCUUGGAGAUUCCCAGCCCAACCCUUCAUUUACUACCUUCUUUAUAACUCCCAAAUCAUCACUGACAACCUUGACUUUAGAAAAGUCUAUCAUCUCAAUCUCAAAAUGAAGUUCAUCUUCCUGUGGAAAGCUACUUGGAGGUGAAACUGGACAAUCAACCUCGCAAUAGUGCAUUUCAGGUUUCAUCUUGAACAUUGCCACUUCACCCUUCAGCAUUGUUGGAAGUCCUUCCAGCAAUCCUAGUAUCAUCUUACUUUUGCCCAAAACUUGUCUUAUUGGAGUGUCCUUGCCUCCAUAUUCCAACCUAGUAGACUCUACAACAACUCCGUCCAAUGUUCUAACAGUGCAAUGGUAUAUGACCUGGUCACCAUCUGAUGGUCUAGCAUC
rnacentral:misc_RNA from 1 species